GUGUCCUUGGUGUAACGGUAACACAACAUUUGGUUGGUCCGGGGUUCGACUCCUCGAGGAUGCC